rnacentral:lncRNA from 1 species
AAUCUAGAUCUGGUUGGUUCUCAAGAAAUUCCUAUUGCAUCAUGUUGACAAUUUUUAAUAUGUUGUACCAAUUCCACAAAUACUAUGUGUAUUUAAUAUAAAUAUAUUAAAAGAUAUAGUUGAAUAGAUAAACAAGCUGUGGUAUAUCCAUAUUAAGGAAUACUACUCAGCAGUAGAAAGGAAUACAACUUCACAGCUUAGAUGAAUCUCAAAGGUCUUGUGCUGAGUGAAAGAAGCUAGUCUCAAGUUACAUACCUUACAAUUCCUUUUUUAGGAGUUCCUGUUGUGGCUCAACAGGUUAAGGAUCUGGCAUUGUGCAAGCUGCAGCACAGGUCUGGGAUGCAGCUUGGAUCUGGUGUGGCUGUGGCUGUGGCAUAGGCUGGCAGCUGCAGCUCCCAUUCGACCCCUAGCUCGGGAACUUCCAUAUGCCGCAGGUGCAGCCUUAAAAAGGAAAGGAAAAAAAAACAUUUUUAUGUCAUUCUCGAAAAUCCACAGCUACACAGUGAUAGAGUACAGAUCAGCGGUUGCCACAAGCUAGGAGUCAAUGUGGGGUUUGGCUCUAAAGAAACAGCACAAGGGAGCUCUUUGGGUGAUGGAGCUGUUCUGUAUCCUAAUUGUUGCGACAAUUAUCUGAAAUACGUGUGGGUUAUCACUCAUAUGAUUCAUGUUUUUGGGUAUCAAAAAAAACAUAUUUGAAGUGUGGAAAAAAAAUACAGAAAAGAUAUCACUGUACUAAGACUUCUGAUAGUUUUAGAGUUUGGUGCUUACGCACAAAGGUGACAUGUUAUGUGAGAGUUUUUAAUCCCAUACAGAAAGGUGUAAAUUUUGACUUACCUAUAUUUGAAAGAUGAUAAAAUGUGAUGCUUAGGAAAAAUGAAGACUGAUCAUGUACCUGCACCAGUCUUUUGCUGUUGGUGUGCGUGUGUGUGUGCGCGUGUGUGUGGUGUGUUUUAUCCUAAAGAAUAUUGUAAACGUUUCAGACAAGAAUCCAGCAUAUUAAUAGAAACAUUCCACCCAGUAGCUGGGGAGAAUGGAGACAGUGUUCUCCUGCCACACUCCUUCUUGUGGGAACAGAUGGCAGAAAUAGGCACCCAGUCCCAAUGAUUAGGGGAAAUACCCAUUCCUGUGAAGAACGAGAUAACUAGGAAAGAGAGCUUGGAAAAAAACACAUUUGUGCCAAUUGAACCUAGGAAAUAGAGUUUGAAAAGAGGCUCCGGCUGGUGGGAGAGUACCAGAAAGUUAUUGUUCAUUCCAAAGAGUGGGUCACCAUCUGGCCAUAUCCACUGACCACGUCCCCGUGCCACACCUAAGUGUAACAGCUUAUUCAGAAUUGACUUAGGCGCUUGCAUCACUAAAGGUUAAUGACAGAGGCGUGGGAGGAAGGAACUGGCCCUUUAAAUGGUUCUUCUGUAGAAGACGAUUGAGCUUGGCCAAGAUGUCAGACAUGUUAUCAAAUGAGUUAAUGCAUGUGAAAAGUGGGUACUACAGAUUGUAGGGUACCACGGAAGUGUCAGUUAUCAUGAACCCUAAACUGGGGACCCUGACUCAAUGGAAUUUAUCCAACUAGAGAAGAACAUCUGAAAGGCAACCGAAAUGCCACAGGCCCAGUCUUUGAAAUUUGUAAACGUGCGCGCAUUUCAGGUGGACAUAAUCCAUGUGGGUCUGUGCAGGGUGCCGCUAUUCAUCCUGCACAUUAAUAAAUACAUACAAAUGAGCCGAAAAUGGAGAAGUCCUCAGUAAAACCACAGCAGCCCAUCUUGAUGAGAUUACCCUUUCAGAAAAAUCCAUUAAAAUGCAAAUAUGUUAAACAAAUCAAAUUUGGGAGGUCAAAUUUUCUGGGGAAAUGCAGUCUGUUCGCAAUAUUGCUUCUCUACAGGAUUUCCAUCUGAAUUGUACUAAUGAUGUGCAGACUGGGACUGCAAUGAAAGAAAAAUUUCUGAGACUGUGGGCUUCAGCUUUAGCAGAUGUUGUAUGUUGUGGUAACUAAAUCAAAAGGAGGUGGAUAAAAACGUUUGCACAUACUUUACAUACAUUUGCUGGAAGAGAGAGACUCUAUAAUGAGCAAUUCAGAGAAGAAAUAAGGAUGUAGACACUAUUUUAAAAGAACAUAAUUCAGAUAUAUCAAAAUAUUAAGUAUAUUUAUGAUAUUACACUAAUGUCUUCUACUAGGCAUCCUGGGUAAAGGCUUGAGUUCUGUUUUUAUUUGUUUUCCUGCUUGUUUUUUUUUUUUUUUUUUCUUAGGGCCGCACCUGCAGCAUAUGGAGGUUUCCAGGCUAGGGGGCGAAUUGAAGCUGUAGCUGCUAGCCUACACCACAGCCACAGCAAUGCCAGAUCCGAGCCGUGUCUGCGACCUACACCACAGCUCACAGCAACACUGCAUCCUUAACUCACUGAACGAGGCCAGGGAUUGAACCUGCAUCCUCAAGGAUACCAGUUGGGUUUGUAACCACUGAGCCACAACAGGCACUCCAGCUUGAGUUCUGUUUUAACAGUGACUUUCUAAACAGAGCUCCUCUCCAGCCAACUGAUUCACAAGUGACAGUGAGGAUGUUGCAUUCGAUGUGUUUGUGGCUCCCAGGCUUCUCAAAUGAAAACUAGAAUUCAGACGGAGAUAGCAAAUAGCGACUUGGUUUAUCAUGAGUGCCUUGUUCUGCCCAAGGCUUAGGCUUAUCCUUUUGAAUGCAUCCAAGCAGGACUGUUCAAAGGUGCUGCCUGUGGUAACUCGGUUCAGAGGAAGUCCGCCAGCCUCAAAACAUUGUGGUUUUGUGUGUGUGUGUCUUUAUACACCUCAGAAAACUUGCAUCCCUGAUGGUAUUCUUAGCUCCAUCUUUCUUUGCUCUAACAGCGUUCCCCAAAUCUGCUGUGCUUUGGCAUCCCUAGAAAGAGGUUGAAACUCUUACUGCCCAGGUCAUACCCUCAUCCAAUUAAAUCAGAAUGCUAGCAGUAGAAGCAGGCAACAGGAGUUUUCCAAAUAAUCCCCUGACGAUUCCAAUAUGAGCAAAAUUUGAGGACCACUAAUUUAUGGCCAGUCUGACAUAGAACGUAGUGCUUGACAUAUGUGUGGCAUUCCAUGCAUAUUUGUAGAACAAAUGAAAGAAUCUAAUCUUAUCAAAUAGUCUUCCAGCUGUUAGGGUGCAGUUGCACCCUCUUUGCAAUAAUUUCCCCAGUACUCACUCUCUGUCAAUAAAUAUUUUUUGAAAAAAAAAUCUAUCCUAAGAAAAUAAUGGAAACUUCAGACAUUAAGGUUUAACCAUAUUAUUAUUUAUAACAUGAUAAAAUGGAAAAAUUCAAAUGUCCAACAACAUAACAUGUUUGAGUAAAUCAUGCAAUACCAACUCAAUAGUAUAUAAUGUCACAAAUAAAAAUAUUCACCAAAUGCUUUUUAAGAGCACUGAAAAAAUUUUAUUAGAAUAAUAAUUACAGGGAGUUCCCCUUGUGGCUCAGCUGUAAGGACCCCAACUAGUAUCCACGAGGAUGCAGGUUCGAUCCCCGGCCCCACACAGUGGGUUAAGGAUCCAGCGUUGCCGUGAGCUGUGGUGUAGCCUGCAGACAUGGCUUGGAUCCCGCAUGGCUGUGGCUGUGGUGUAGGGCCACAGUUGCAGCUCUGAUUUGACCCUAGCCUGGGGAUUUCCAUAUGCUGCA